GACCGCUUAGCUCAGUUGGCUAGAGCGUCGCAUUGACAUUGCGAAGGUCGGUGGUUCAAGUCCACCAGCGGUCA
rnacentral:tRNA from 1 species